rnacentral:lncRNA from 1 species
AAUUUACAAAGAAAAAUAAAUUGAAAAUUAAAUUACAGAAUUUUAAAGAAGAGAAAAAGAAAAGAAAUACUAACCUUUAAAUGUAGAUUCACUUUUUUUUUCUCCCCAGCAACGACGCUAAAAACUUGUUGUGCAAAUUUUAUUGAAUUCGCAAGUGCACGAAUCUAUUGUAGAAUAGAUUAAUGGUGACGAGUGUCGAUCCCACGAGGAGGUGGAUUUUAAUUAUGUGUAGAAUUAAUUUUGUAAAUGGGUGGUUGGAUUUGUGGUGAAAAUGAUUUGGAUUAUCCUAAAAUUAGAAUUGAAAUGGCGAAAAUAAAUUCUAAAAUUGGAAUUGAAAUGGUGAGAAUAAAUUGAAGAGAAAUCUAUUGAAAUGACGUACUUGGGUAUCUGGAUCCGUAUCAACAUGCAUCAUGGGCUAAAUAAUCCUUAUUAAUGACAAUUAAAUUAUGAGGGGGGAAUCCACACCUCAUGAACCACGCUCUAAUCAAUAUGGUUCUAAGGGCUUAUCGUGCCAAAUAAUAAUAACAUUGUACUAGGGGGCCGGUGAAAUUAAGGCGGUACUAGACAAGAUUAGUAUUAUUUAUCGACGAGAAGUCAAAACAUCCACAAAAAUUAGUGGGGAAAAAAAUAAAUUUACCAAAUAAAGCCUAUGACACAUGUUGAGACUUCACCUUCAACCCAAGCUUGAAAGAAAAUUAGCCACUCAUAAUUGAAUUAGGGGCAAAAUGAAAAUUUAUUAAAAUACAUAGAAAAUAUAAGAUGGAGAAGGAAUUACAGAAAAUGGAGUCCAAAAAUGGAUUCAGAUCUAUCAAAUUAGGGGGGGAGGCCCCCUUUUUAUAGAUACAUUGAGUAAAUCGUGGCCAUCGGAUUAAAAACAGUUUGGACGCUCAGGAUUGCGCCACGUCAUCAGUCAACAGUACGCGGUUUGACCACAUGGGUGAACAGUAACAUGGUUUGACCCAGUUUUGAACAGUAACGCGGUUUGGUUGAAAAUAAUCCUGUGUAAUGCAUGUAUCGUACGCGCAAGUUUUGGUCCACUAAUAUGCUGCCACGUCACCAUCAACAGUUCAUAAGAAUUUUAGACCAACAGGAUCAUGACACCUCAUCAGUCAAUGCCACAUCAUCGGUCAGUGCCACGUCAUCGAUCCGUCUGUGUAAACAAUGUCGUGAACAGUAACGUAGAUAGUACCGUACAUGUGAAUAGUGCCAUUUUUCCUUUUAUGCUCCUCCUAAGGUUUUCGACCGUCCUGAGUUCAAAAGUGAUGUCCGUUUUGCCGUUUGAUCUCUCGUUUAUUGUGAAAUGACUAUAUGCCCCUAAAAUACACAAAAUACUUAAUUAAAAUAAAACACACAUAAUUAAAUUACAAGAACCUUAAAUACAUAAAAGUAAGGGUUGUUAGUAAGACGUGGAAUGUAAAAUGACGAUUUUCUCCUUUAUAAAUAUACAUUUUCUAACACUCAACAGUGCUCAAGUUAGCUAAAGGACUAAAAUAGUCCUUAAAUGGCCUCUCCUGUGGUGCUUGUAAAUCCAUUCCAAAUUUAUUUUUAACGUGCUUGUGUGUGCGAGGUGUUUUUUCUAGUUCAAGGUCUAUAGGUUCAAGAUUAGGUAAUAAUGACCUACGACCAUGCAUACAAAACAAAUAAAAUAAAAAUAAAGAUGGGAACAAAACAAAUAAAAAUAAAAAAGAGGGAGAAAUUACGAUACUAACCUUAUUGCGCUAUUACAACCUUAAUAUAAAAACACACUAAAAAAAAUACGUGAAAAUAAAUUAACUAAAAAUAAAUUAAUAAAAAAAUUACAAAGAAAAAUAACUUAAAAAUUAAAUUGCAGAAUUGUAAAGAAUAGAGAAAGAAAAGAAAUUAUUACCUCUAAAUGCAGAUUCACUUUUUUUUCUUUUUUUUAAUAAGAAAAAAAUACAAGAAAACAAAUAAAAGAAAUUAUUCACAAAAAUUAAUUCUACAAAUUAAAAUAACUUACCUCCCUGGCAACGGUGCUAAAAACUUGUUGUGCAAAUUUUAUUGAACUCGCAAGCGCACGAAUCUAUUGUAGAAUAGACUAAUGGUGACGAGUGUCGAUCCUACGAGUAGGUAGAUUUUAAUUAUGUGUAGAAUUAAUUUUGUAAAUGGGUGGUUGGAUUUGUGGUGAAAGUGACUUAGAUUAUCUUAAAAUUGGAAUUGAAAUGGCAAGAAUAAAUUGAAGAGAAAUCUAUUGAAAUGAAACACUUGGGUAUCUGGAUCUGUAUCAACAUGCACCAUAGGCUAAAUAUUCCUUAUUAAUACCAAUUAAAUCAUGAGAGGGAAAUCCACACCUCAUGAACCACGCUCUAAUCAAUAUGGUGCUAAAGGCUUAUCGUGCCAAAUAAUAAUAAUCUUGUACUAUGGAGCCGGUGUAACCAAGGCGGUAUCUAGACAAGAUUAUUAUUAUUUAUCGACGAAAAGUCAAAUGAUCCACAAAAAUUAGAGGGGAAAAGAAAAUAAAUUUACCAAAUAAAGCCUAUGACACAUGUUGAGACUUCACCUUCAACCCAAGCUUGAAAGAAAAUUAUCUACUCAUAAUUGAACUAGGGGCAAAAUGGGAAUUUAUUAAAAUACGUAGAAAAUACAAGAUGGAGAAGGAAUUACAGAAAAUGGAGUCCAAAAGUGGAUUCAGAGAUAUCAAAUUAGGGAGGGAAGGCCCCCUUUUUAUAGAUACAUUGAGUAAAUCGUGACCAUCGGAUUAAAAACAGUUUGGACGCUCAAGAUUGCGCCACGUCAUCAGUCAACAGUACGCGGUUUGACCACGUGGGUGAACAGUAACACGGUUUGACCUGGGUUGAACAAUGACGCGGUUUGGUUGAAAAUAAUCCUGUGUAAUGCAUGUACCGUACACGAGAUUUUUGGUCCACUGAUAUGCUGCCACUUGAUCGUCAACAGUACAUAAGAAUUUUAGUCCAACAAGAUCGUGACACCUCAUCAGUCAAUGCCACAUCAUCGGUCAAAGCCACGUCAUCGAUCCGUCUUUGUGAACAAUGUCGUGAACAGUAACGUAGACAGUACCGUACACGUGAAUAGUACCGUACAUGUGAACAAUGCCAUUUUUCCUUUUAUGCUCCUCUUAAGGUUUUCGACCAUCCUGAGUUCAAAAGUGAUGUCCGUUUUGCAGUCUGAUCUCUCGUUUAUUGUGAAAUGACCAUGAUGCCCCUAAAAUACAUAAAAUACUUAAUUAAAAUAAAACACACAUAAUUAAAUUACAAGAAGCUUAAAUACAUAAAAGCAAGGGUUGUUAGUAAAACGUGAAAUGUAAAAUGACGAUUUUUACCUUUAUAAAUAUACAUUUUCUAACACUCAACAAUGAUUACUGCAAAAGGACUCAUAAAAGAUAAAAGAAAUAACUGAUUAUCAAGGUCAUUUGCAUCCCCUUGCAAAACAAGGGUAGAUAGAGUCUUUGAGAGCCUAUUUUAACUUUUCAAUCAAACACUCUUCCCUGGUAAGUCUUGAGCAAUCAAUAAUUUUAGGCGACGAUGAAACUAAAAAUCUUUGACAUUUUUACGUUUCAUUAGUAGGUUGGCCACAAGUUUACCUCCAAGCACCUUAAUACGGUGACCAAAUUAAAGUAGCAUUAGUUAUUGGCUUCAUUGGACUCAUUAUCCACUUGUUGCUACUUUUCUAUUCAAUCCACACAGUAGGCUUGAAUCCCCCAGCUUGCUCAAAAGACUUAAUUUAUUGCCACAAGUUUUUUUGGCCACCCAAUUUGAGAAUUUGCUUCUUCUUUUUAUGAUGCUUCCCAUCUAAUAAGAGCGUGUGAUUAAGAACUUGUAUUUGUUUAAUUCAUAACAUCUCAAGAGCAUUACAAUAGAAAGACUGAAAAAGAAAAGUUGAAACUGACAACAUUGAUUAAAAUUCCUACUUGUUAUUCUUAGUAAUAACAACAUCUAGGUCUUAAAUUUGCAGGAGCCAACAUGAUGAAGCCUAUAUUUUGCAUCAUUAAAUGAUUAAUCUUAUUGUUAUCUCUGUUUUCACUAUUGUCUUAUCAAAAACAAUUUCUUACCAUACUAGCUGCAUAAAAAUUAACAAACUAACAUAUUAUCAUUUUAAGUCAUCAAUCAAGUAUAAAUAUUAUAUUAUUUAGUUAUGUAACAAGAAUAAAGAAAUAUCUAAAUUUCAAAGACAAAUCUUAAAUUAAAGCCAAACUAGCCAUCGCAAAUAAAUAAAAUAAUACAUAUUGGUAUUUAGAAGCAACUGCUUGAAACAAUUUUGUAAUUACUAACAAGUUUUUCUUAAAUGAAAUGAAAUAACAUAAAAUAAAAGAAAUUAAAAGCCAAUAUUUUUAUUUUCAAGUGAUGAAAUUAAAAUUCUUGUUACAAUUACAUGUGACUUCUAUUGUGCAACUUAGCCAACAAAUUGUCCAUUUACUUGCAUUAAUUUUUUUUCAUCUUGAACGCAAUUUGCGAAUCCGCCAUGACAACAUUGCAUCUAAUUAGAGAAAGACUUUUGUAUGUUUAGUAGAUGAGGUCAAUACGUGCCAGAAUAAUAGGAAAAUUUUGUUAUAUUAACUGGGCGAACUUCAAUUCAUUCUCCUGCCAAUAAAAAUCUUCAAUUUACCUUUCAAAAUCGUGAAAACCUCAACUUACCUCAAUUUUUGUUCAGAAGAUAAGCGUAAAUGAAUUUUUUAAUCUAUUUUUUUAGUAAUAAAAAAGGGUAAGAUGAUGUGUUCACGUUUCUUGGGGUAAAAUUGAUAUUUUCAUAAUUUAAAUUGAAGUAUAUACGUAAAUUAGCAAUUAAAUUGAAUUUUCCCUGAAAUUAACUCAAACAGUUUUGUAAUAUAAGAUUUCGAGAAAAUACAAGGGUUUUUUUUCCCUUUUUGCGAGGAUGGAGCCUCACCCGAAGAGAAAAUGGAUUGAACGUUCAAAUAUUACUAGUACUAACACAGUAAUAAUGAUCAUUAUUAGUAUUUCAACAGAUUACUCUCUCAUAGAUUGAGUUAACGAUUUGUAUACAACAAAAUAGCAUCAGAUGGACGCACAAAAGGCACAUGUCUUAACAUUGCACACUCAUAAUGGAUUAGUUUCUUUUUUUUUAUUAAGAUAUAGUUUCAAUUUCACUACACUUGAUCAUUGUUGCAAAAGCACUCAUAAAAGAUAAAAGAAAUAACUAAUUAUCAAAAUCAUUUGCAUCCCCCCGGGGGACAAUGAUAGAUAUAGUCUUCGAGAGCUUUCUUUAGCUUCGCAAUCAAACACUCUUCCCUUGUAAUCCCUGAGCAAUCAACAAUGUCUGGUGAUGCUGUAGGAUUACUGGAAAAUGACGCAUCUGCGGUAGAUCCUUGGCCAAUAUGAUUGGCUAAAAUAAGUCUACUUUCAGUGUUUGCCACUACGAGCAAAGCCAAGAUGAUGAAACUAAGGCUCUUCGACAUAUUUCUAUUUCUUAGGUGAAUUAUCAAUAACUUAAUUAGAAGUAUAAGAGAUCUACAUCAAUCAGGGCAGCAUAAGUCUCUAUUUAUAUGAAUGAAUAUUGAGAAACGAGUUGCAGUGACUUUAAUGGAAUUGAAAGAUUCCAUAAAUGAGGAUUAAAUAAAUUAUGUUGUGUUUGUUUAAAUUAACUACUGACUUUAAUAUCAUGUUGCAUUACGACGACAAUUUUAACAUACAUUAAAUUAAUUUGAUCGUUUUUAGUGUUAUUAUUAUGUUUAGUUUAUUGUUAGAUUCUUUCUCAUUAUAUCAAUCGUCAAACUAUUGUUUUAAUAUGUAAGGCGUUUCUAGAAGCCACGCCCUCCAACGAAAUUAACCACAUCCUAUUUUAAGCAAGUCAGUGACACAAUCAAUCCUGUAUAUUUGCAUGGAUAUACAGUAAUACUUCUAUAAAUUAAUAAUAAAUAAAUCAUGCAACAUCUAUUAAUUUAAAGAGAUAUUGAUAUUAAUCAAUCAAUAAGUUGUAUAAGAGAUUAUGUUUUAUAAUUGUAUGGUCACAUUCUUACUAUAAAAUAAUAAUUUACUGGGCUUACAAACAUAAUUGUUAUAAUAUGUUAUUAAAUAAAACAUGACUCGAUUAUUAUUUGUUUUUCUUCAAAUCUAAACAUAGUGGGAUCUCAUCUCAGAUAUUACUUAUUCCUGUUGAAUUCAAAACAACAAGAAUUCUCUUUUUUUUUUGUUAAUUGUAAUCUAUAUUUAGGGGAUUAAUUAAUUUUGAAUUGGCUAUGUUGGUAAAAUACUACGAAUUAUCUAGUUGAUUAAAUAUAUGUUCACUUAAUUGUAUAUACACUCUAUAAAUUAAAAGAUUAUUAACUUAUAGAUUAAUUAAUAUCAGUAUCUCUUUAUAUUAAUAGAAUUGUAUGAUUUUGAUAUUAAUUUAGAGAGGCUGUAUUGUAUAUCCAUGAGAUUCUACAGCAGCGGCAGACCAUUUGAAAAAAAAAAGUACCGGAUAAUUUUACAUUAAUUUUCCUCCAAGUAUACGCAUUUUAACUUCUCACUAACAGCAAAUCAAUAAAGCACCUCAAAUGCAAUUACAUCAAUCUCUAUAACAAUGUCAAAUAUCCAAUAUCAUCAAGUUGAAAUUCUAAUAUAAGCAUUAUGUACUGAGUCCGAAUAUUAUAGAACCAACAUUUUUUUAAAGUGAAAUUUAACAUGAUCAAAAGAAACAAACAACAUUAGUGUUAAAGACGCUGAAUUUACAGAAACCAUUUAUUAAAAAAUAAAUUAAUGUAAUUAUCUAUGAUAGAAUUAAAGAGAGGAUGUGCUGAUAUUAUAUUGAAGCUGUUUUUGUUCAGCUACAUGGCCGCCGCCACCACUAUCAUAAGACAGGCCAAAAACAACAAAGUAAAUGCUAGAGUGAGGAAAAGGAUACUUUUGCUAAUUAAGUAAAUUAAUUAAAAGGUGAUGGCUGAAAAGAUAUUUUGAGAAGGUUCAAUAUCACCACUCGAAAAAUGGCACAUAAUCAGUCGUACACAUUUAUUCAAUAUAAAACGACCAAGUCCAAGCCAAGCUUCAUCAGUACUCAAUCAUUUUUGUGAAUCAUCAAAUUAUCUGUUAAUAUCAUUUUACACAAAUAUUGAAAAGUUUUAGAUUAAGAUUCGUGUAAUAAUGCAAUAUGCAAACAGUAGAAAGCAUUAUCUGACAUAAAUGUGGAGGAAAAAUUACUGUAACUCACCAGAGCAUUGAACCAAAUCUAAAAGCAUUAAUUAAACUAUAAUAAAAGCUCAAGAUAUUAUGAGCAUCGACAUUAAUUACUGGAUGGUAUGUACGCAAAGUUUAAAUAAUUAAUUGCUCAAGUAUGGAUAAUUUAAAGCAUUUAUAUUGGACGUAAUUCUUGUUGAUUUUGUUCAAUACUUUGGAUCAAUUGGUUUUCAUAGUGUUAUACACACCAAGCAUAUCGGCUACCUUGGCAAUUGCUCAAGUGGGGAAGAGGUGGAAUUCAUUAGCGAGCUAGCUACCAGUUAGCCUCCAAGUGUCCCUGUACUACCACAAAGUUACAGGAGAAUUAGCUGCAGGCUUCAUUGGACUCAUCAUCUCCUUGCUUUUGCUUCAUUAUUCAUCCAUACAGCAGUGUUGAAUCCCCUACUUGUUCAAAGAGGUGAUUCACUAGCUCAAGUCUUUUUGGUCACCCACUUUAAGAAUUUAUUUCUUCUUUUUAUGAUGCUUCCUAUCUAAUAAGAGUGUGUGAAUUGGAGAUUGUAUUUGUUUAAUUCAUAACAUCCCAAAAACAUUGCAGAAGAGAGACAAAAUAAGAAAAGUUGAAUACUAAAUACAUUAACGAAAAUUCCUUGAACUAAUUAAUCUUACAUGUUAUUCUUCAUGCUAACCACAUAUGGGUCUUGAAUUUGUAGGAGUCAAUAGCAUUAGGCGCACACACAAAAACCACAUGACAUAAUAUUUCGUACUCAUAAUGGAUUAAUUUCUACUUUUAUUAAAACACAGUUUUAAUUCCACUACAAUUGAUCAUUAUUGCAAAAGGACUCAUAAAAGAUAAAAGAAAUAACUGAUUAUCAAGUUCAUUUGCAUCCCCUUGCGGAACAAGGGUAGAUAGAGUCUUUGAGAGCCUAUUUUAACUUUUCAAUCAAACACUCUUCCCUAGUAAGUCUUGAGCAAUCAAUAAUUUUAGGCGACGAUGAAACUAAAAAUCUUUGACAUUUUUAUAUUUCAUUAGUAGGUUGGCCACAAGUUUACCUCCAAGCACCUUAAUACGGUGACCAAAUUAAAGCAGCAUUAGUUAUUGGCUUCACUAGACUCAUUAUCUACUUGUUGCUACUUUUCUAUUCAAUCCACAUAGUAGGCUUGAAUCCCCCAGCUUGCUCAAAAGACUUAAUUUAUUGCCACAAGUUUUUUUGGCCACCCAAUUUGAGAAUUUGCUUCUUCUUUUUAUGAUGCUUCCCAUCUAAUAAGAGCGUGUGAUUAAGAACUUGUAUUUGUUUAAUUCAUAACAUCUCAAGAGCAUUACAAAAGAAAGACCGAAAAAGAAAAGCUGAAACUGACAACACUGAUUAAAAUUCCUACUUGUUAUUCUUAGUAAUAACAACAUCUAGGUCUUAAAUUUGCAGGAGCCAACAUGAUAAAGCCUAUAUUUUGCAUCAUUAAGUGAUUAAUCUUAUUGUUAUCUCUGUUUUCACUAUUGUCUUAUCAAAAACAAUUUCUUACCAUACUAGCUGCAUAAAAAUUAACAAACUAACAUAUUAUCAUUUUAAGUCAUCAAUCAAGUAUAAAUAUUAUAUUAUUUAGUUAUAUAACAAGAAUAAAGAAAUAUCUAAAUUUCAAAGAAAAAUCUUAAAUUAAAGCCAAACUAGCCAUCGCAAAUAAAUAAAAUAGUACAUAUUUGUAUUUAGAAGCAACUGCUUGAAACAAUUUUGUAAUUACUAACAAGUUUUUCUUAAAUGAAAUAAAAUAACAUAAAAUAAAAGAAAUUAAAAGCCAAUAUUUUUAUUUUCAAGUGAUGAAAUUAAAAUUAUGGUAACAAUUACAUGUGACUUCUGUUGUGCGGCUUAGCCAACAAAUUGUCAAUUUACUUGCAUUAAUUUUUUUUCAUCUUGAACACAAUUUGUGAAUCCGCCAUGACAACAUUGCAUCUAAUUAGAGAAAGACUUUUGUUUUUUUAGUAGAUGAGGUCAAUAUGUGCCAGAAUAAUAGGAAAAUUUUGUUAUAUUAACUGGGCGAACUUCAAUUCAUUCUCCUGCCAAUAAAAAUCUUCAAUUUACCCUUCAAAAUCGUGAAAACCUCAACUUACCUCAAUUUUUGUUCAGAAGAUAAGCGUAAAUGAAUUUUUUAAUCUAUUUUUUUAGUAAUAAAAUGGGUAAGAUGAUGUGUUCACGUUUUUUGGGGUAAAAUUGAUAUUUUCAUAAUUUAAAUUGAAGUCUAUACAUAAAUUAGUUCAGGCAAUUAAAUUGAAUUUUUCCCUUAAAUUAACUCAAACAGUUUAGUAAUAUAAGAUUUUGAUAAAAUACAAGGGUUUUUUUUUCCCUUUUUGUGAGGAUGCAGCCUCACCCAAAGAGGAAAUGGAUUGAACGUUCAAAUAUUACUAGUAUUAACACAGUAAUAAUGAUCAUUAUUAGUAUUUCAACAGAUUACUCUCUCAUAGAUUGAGUUAACGAUUUGUAUACAACAAAAUAGCGUCAGAUGCACGCACAAAAGGCACAUAUCAUAACAUUGCACACUUAUAAUGGAUUAGUUUCUUUUUUUUAUUAAGAUAUAGUUUCAAUUUCACUACACUUGAUCAUUGUUGCAAAAGCACUCAUAAAAGAUAAAAGAAAUAACUUAUUAUCAACAUCAUUUGCAUCCCCCCGGGGGACAAUGAUAGAUAUAGUCUUCGAGAGCUUUCUUUAGCUUCGCAAUCAAACACUCUUCCCUUGUAAUCCCUGAGCAAUCAACAAUGUCUGGUUAUGCUAUAGGAUUACUGGAAAAUGACGCAUCUGCUGUAGAUCCUUUUGCCAAUAUGAUUGGCUAAAAUAAGUCUACUUUCAGUGUUUGCCACUACGAGCAAAGCCAAGAUGAUGAAACUAAGGCUCUUCGACAUAUUUCUAUUUCUUAGGUGAAUUAUCAAUAACUUAAUUAGAAGUAUAAGAGAUCUACAUCAAUCAUGGCAGCAUAAGUCUCUAUUUAUAUGAAUGAAUAUUGAGAAACGAGUUGCAGUGACUUUAAUGGAAUUGAAAGAUUCCAUAAAUGAGGAUUAAAUAAAUUAUGUUGUGUUUAUUUAAAUUAACUAUUGACUUUAAUAUCAUGUUGCAUUACGACGACAAUUUUAACAUACAUUAAAUUAAUUUGAUCGUUUUUAGUGUUUUUAUUUUGUUUAGUUUAUUAUUAGAUUCUUUCUUAUUAUAUCAUCGUCAGGCUAUUUUUUUAAUAUGUAAAGACAUUUCUACAAUCCACGCCCUCCAAUGAAAUUAACCACAUCCUAUUUUAAGCAAGCCAGUGACACAAUCAAUCCUAUAUGUUUGCAUGGAUAUACAGUAAUACUUCUAUAAAUUAAUAAUAAAGAAAUCAUACAACAUCUAUUAAUUUAAAGCGAUAUUGAUAUUAAUCAAUCAAUAAGUUGUAUAAGAGAUUAUGUUUUAUAAUUGUAUGGUCACAUUCUUACUAUAAAAUAAUAAUUUGCUAGGCUUACAAACAUAAUUGUUAUA